rnacentral:tRNA from 1 species
GAAGUGUGGUGUUCAUGAAAGAGCUGCUAACUCUUUCUCUAGUGGUUAAAAUCCAUUAACACUUCU